GGGUGCGAUCAUACCAGCACUAAUGCACCGAAUUCCAUCGAAACUUCAAAGUUAAGCGCCUGAGCGAGAAUAGUUCUAAGAUGGGUUUGUCCUAUAACUUUCAUAGACACAAGCU
rfam:Cephalotus follicularis DNA, scaffold: scaffold2959, isolate: St1.